rnacentral:rRNA from 1 species
AUUGAACGCUGGCGGCAGGCCUAACACAUGCAAGUCGAACGAGUGGCGGACGGGUGAGUAAUGUCUGUGAAACUACCUGAUGGAGGGGGAUAACUACUGGAAACGGUAGCUAAUACCGCAUACCAUCGGAUGUGCGCAGAUGGGAUUAGCUAGUAGGUGGGGUAAAGGCUCACCUAGGCGACGAUCCCUGGCUGGUCUGAGAGGAUGACCAGCCACACUGGAACUGAGACACGGUCCAGACUACUACGGUAGGCAGCAGUGGGGAAUAUUGCACAAUGGGCGCAAGUCUGAUGAAGCCAUGCCGCGUGGAUGAAGAAGGCCUUCGGGUUGUAAAGUACUUUCAGCGGGGAGGCGUUACCCGCAGAAGAAGCACCGGCUAACUCCGUGCCAGCAGCCGCGGUAAUAC